rnacentral:rRNA from 1 species
GAUGAACGCUGGCGGCGUGCCUAAUACAUGCAAGUCAAGCGAACGGACGAGAAGCUUGCUUCUCUGAUGUUAGCGGCGGACGGGUGAGUAACACGUGGAUAACCUACCUAUAAGACUGGGAUAACUUCGGGAAACCGGAGCUAAUACCGGAUAAUAUUUUGAACCGCAUGGUUCAAAAGUGAAAGACGGUCUUGCUGUCACUUAUAGAUGGAUCCGCGCUGCAUUAGCUAGUUGGUAAGGUAACGGCUUACCAAGGCAACGAUGCAUAGCCGACCUGAGAGGGUGGUCGGCCACACUGGAACUGAGACACGGUCCAGACUCCUACGGGAGGCAGCAGUAGGGAAUCUUCCGCAAUGGGCGAAAGCCUGACGGAGCAACGCCGCGUGAGUGAUGAAGGUCUUCGGAUCGUAAAACUCUGUUAUUAGGGAAGAACAUAUGUGUAAGUAACUGUGCACAUCUUGACGGUACCUAAUCAGAAAGCCACGGCUAACUACGUG